CUCACCUAAACGUCUCUCCUAAGAAACCCAAACCUCACACUUAUUAAUCUCCUUAAGAAUAUCCUCUAGUCAAACAUUCUAUUUUCUUUCUUAUUUUAAUUGAAAUAAAAAGAUAAGAAAAAACUUAAAAGGGAAGGGUGAUACAUGUGCCACACAGUGUCUGUAUUGCUUUCACUCCCUUCAUUAGUGGUCCCUUAUUGUCUUACAAUUUAAUUUUCGAAUCAAAAUCUAUCAGCCCUCUCCCCUACUAGUACUUGUAU